CAUCAUCCACAAAGUAAGGCCCUGAGCAUC
rnacentral:piRNA from 1 species